CACCAAUCAGCGCAGCCGCAAUAUAUGCGCAAACCAAUAGGAGAGGUCGAGAGGUGACAUCCAUCUCUACAGCCACAAACAGGUCUGGGAAAAGAGUUCAGCACAUUGGACAGCGGCAGACACAGCACCAGACAAGAGAGAAGAGGUUCGGUCCAGAUCCUGGAUGAGGUCUCCACUGCUAGUCGCUGUUUGAUCUUAAUCUUCGCUCCUGGAUGUUUUUCCCCAUGUUCAUGGUUAAAGUUGUGACAGCAUACGUGGACAAGAUCAUGAUGGUGCUCCCCACAAACUGUGACGUGGCUCCCCUCCUCGCCACCAACUUCCACCCUCUUCUCUGUGAGUGAGCAUCUGCCGCCUCCACCGUCUGAGCGACGGGCUCCAUGUCUGCAGCUCGGACAGGCAGCUCCAUUAUCUCCCGGAGGUGCUGACGGAUUCAAAUGUCAGUGUUUCCCUCUGCCUCUCUGGGUGGACUGUGUCCCUCUUGUUGAAGCUCAGAACACAUGGUUCCUUAUCUACUCGGCCUCAUUUGCACACGUCAAAUCCCUCAGACUCAGCUGGGUGCCAGAGUGCGUCAACGACACCUGCGGGAGUCUGCCAGAAUGAACAAGCUCUCCUGUCUGCGGUGCAAGCUGUACAGAUAGGACUCAAUAAUAGAACAAACACAAGUCCGUCAGUCUGAGCUCACUUGUAUUUCAGGACCAAGGUCAGCACCAAGCAGAGACUAAGAUCCUGAAUACACAUGAAAUCCCACCAUCUGUCAACCUGCGCACCGUCACAACAAACCUUAGUUUGCUUUAACACCUUUAACAGUCUCUUUUAGAGCACAUGUUAAGAUGUGAUGUAUAAAAAAUUAGUUGUGCUUAACUCAGCCCAAAGUAUGUCAGACUCCACCAAAAUACCCAGGGUGCCUUGCGUUUGCUUCAACGCAGAACCCGAAUGUGUAACUUAUUAUAUUAUAAAUGUGCGUAAUGUAAUUUAAAAAUGGAAUAAAAACCGACAAUAUUAUAAUUCCUGUCAUGAAAAUGAUGAGCGAAUAAUGUGAUAACUUUUUGUGCAUAAUGAUAAUAAUUAUAUUUUAUGCACUUUUUCAUGAUAAAUGUAAAAACUCAACAUAUAUUGUGGCGAUAAAUUAAAAUUGAAUGCAUUAUAUGUGGCUCUAAUUCCAUCUCAGUCGUCGCAUCGUGCUCCAGAUUUCCAACUGUGCUCCGUCUAUUUAAAUGUGUAUUUAUUGCAGCCAUUCAAAUGCAAAAACACAUAUGACGGUUGUGGAUUUUCUUCCUUUAUGUGCAUUUGAAGUGUUUAUAUAUUACAAGAAAGCACGCCCACUUCCCAGAAUCCUCCUCCGUGAAAUGCCAAAGCCAAAAGCAUAAACAAGAUGUUGGCAGACCUGGUUCUGCCUAUAAAUGUAUAAAUAUGAUUUGUGUGUAUAAUGUCCGUUUAUAUUUACUUCUACAUUUUUCUCAUUUGGCAGAUGCUUUUAUGCAAAGCGACAACACUAAUGUAUGUCACUUUUGAUAUGCCUGUUCUUCAGUGUGUACAUCAGUUUGUCAGAGAAUGAAAAUCUUGAAAUUCUGUCCAUAAACAUUGUUGGAUCUUCUUGUCAGGUUUCACAACACAACAUCGAUUUCCUUUUGGAACAUCAAAAUCCUACAAUGUUAACCUACUGUUCAAAGAAGCAAAGAGAAAUAAUGCUUAGAGUGUAACGUUUUCUAAUUAUAAAGCCAUAAUAUAUUUGUUUGAAAAUAUUAUAUCAGUAUGAUUUCCUCCCAUUUUCUUAGUUGUUUAUCAUUUUAUAAUUGUUUACUAAUUUUAUUUGAUCUGUAGUUUUAUUAAGCAUCUUUAAUUAAUGUAAAAAGUUUUAUUUAGAGUGUUUUACACAUUAUUCUUGUUGAUUAAGAAGAGGUUUGUAACUGAAAAGUUCGUAAUUAAACGUGUGGUAAGUUGAGAAAUAACAAAGAAA